CCACGUCGGGAUACACGCGACCUCACACGUGACUCGAAGGCUGCCGUUGCAGUUAGUUCUACUGAAAUAAGGCUUCUCCUUUUUGACUGACUCGUCAUUCGUUUUGGGCACAUAAAAUGCCUGAGAUUUACGGGAUUCCUCUUUGAUUCAUGCUGACAUUUGCUUUCUACAGUCAGAAUAUUUUCUGUAUUUAUAUUUGCGUUGCUUAGACGCCUCUCUUUGCGUCUUGUGCCCGGCAAAAUACAGUCACCCUAACUAAAAUAUUAAUACCCAAUUAAUGAGGAAAAUCUCAACUCCCAUUGCCUGCCUUGCAUGUCCUGCCCCUACGCUUCUGCAAAAAAAGAGGCUACCAGACCCCCCCUUCGAAGAACGCAAAAUUUCCACCGGCAACCUCUCAAGUCCCUGCUCCCCCCACAGACCAUCAUGGGAC